AUACUUACUGCUUGGGGAGCAUUAGCCAUGAUCCCUGGUGGCUACUCCCAAGUGAGGCGGUUCAUUGCACUCCAUUACCGAAAGUUGACCUCUCCCGAUUUCCUCAAUGUACGGAAACUUCGACUGCAUAAUUGCUUGGUAGUGGGGACUUCGCGUUCGCGCUUUCCCUG